GGUAAGGUGGCUGAGUAUUAUAGCGUUAGGUUGUAAACCUUUUUACGGGGGUUAAAUUCCUCUUCUUAUCA
rnacentral:tRNA from 1 species